rnacentral:rRNA from 1 species
CCUACGGGUGGCAGCAGUCGAGAAUCAUUCACAAUGGGGGAAACCCUGAUGGUGCGACGCCGCGUGGGGGAAUGAAGGUCUUCGGAUUGUAAACCCCUGUCAUGUGGGAGCAAAUUAAAAAGAUAGUACCACAAGAGGAAGAGACGGCUAACUCUGUGCCAGCAGCCGCGGUAAUACAGAGGUGUCAAGCGUUGUUCGGAAUCACUGGGCGUAAGGCGUGCGUAGGCUGUUUCGUAAGUCGUGUGUGAAAGGCGCGGGCUCAACCCGCGGACGGCACAUGAUACUGCGAGACUAGAGUAAUGGAGGGGGAACCGGAAUUCUCGGUGUAGCAGUGAAAUGCGUAGAUAUCGAGAGGAACACUCGUGGCGAAGGCGGGUUCCUGGACAUUAACUGACGCUGAGGCACGAAGGCCAGGGGAGCGAAAGGGAUUAGAUACCCGGGUAGUC